CCCAGAUCUACAGCAUCCAGUGUUGUACUGCCCCCUUCUGGCCAUCCUCUAGGUGCUUCCUGAGGCCCCAGGACUUGUGCCCCAGUAUACAGUCUGGUGGCCAGCAUGGCAUCGUGCUCAGCAGAACUUCUCCCUCCUCCUCGCUGUUGUGGUCCAGUCCAAACAUCCCAGCCCCAACAUUCCCUGGUUCCCCAGCUCUGUGACAUCACAGACAGCCUUCUGUCUACUCUGCCAGCUGCAGAUCUGAAUGCAUAUGCUUCCCAAAGAAAUUUUUACAAGAGAAACUUAAACCGCUACUGCCAGGAGCACUGGCCAUUCCAGCCAUGCCUCACUGGGAGGCCCUGAGCAUUCUAGCCGGCGGCUGCACAGCUGCUGGGGCAUCUCCAUGAGGAAGAGGGCGGUGGACAGGAGUCAUGAAGACUAAUUCGGAAACUCCCCUGAAGGAGGAGAAGACAUCUGAGCCAUCCUUGUGCCACCAAGCAAGAGUCACUCCAGCUCCUAAAAAGCCACCAUGGGAAGAGCUGCCUCCAAUUAAAGUUCUUGAUUGCACCAGAGGAUGUGUCCUUCUCUUUUCCUUUCCCCCUUACCAACUAAUGUCUUAUUAUUUUUAAAUAUAUUGUCACAUCUAACUAAGCUUAAAAAAUUUAGCCUAUUGGCUGGGCGCAGUGGCUCACGCCUGUAAUCCCAACACUUUGGGAGACCGAGGCAGGUGGAUCACAUGAGGUCAUAAGUUCAAGACCAGCCUGGCCAAUGCGGUGAAACCCCAUCUGUGCUAAAAAUAAAAAAAUCUGCCAGGUGUGGUGGCGUGCUCCUGUAAUCUCAGCUACUAGGGAGGCUGAGGCAGGAGAAUCACUUGAACCCAGGAGGCAGAGGUUGCAAUGAGCUGAGAUCUCGCCGCUGCACUCCAGCCUGGGUAACAGAGUGAGACUCCGUGAAAGAAAGAAAGGAAGGGAAGGGGGAAGGGGGAAGGGAAGAAAGAAAAAAGAGAGAGAGAGGAAGGAGAAAACAGCUUUUUGGAUACCUUCUGAAAUAAUUCCAAAUUUACAGAAAUGUCACAAGAAUAAUACAGAGAACUCCCAUUUACCUUUUACCCAGAGUCACCAAUUGUUUAAUCUACAUUUUCCCCAUUUGCACCAUUUCAGCUCACUGCAACCUCCGCCUCCUGAGUUCAAGUGAUUGAACUCAGUUCAAUCCUGCCUCAGCCUCCCGAGUAGCUGGGAUUACAAGUGCCUGCCACCAGGCCUGGCUAAUUUUUGUAUUUUUAGUAGAGAUGGGGUUUCACCAUGUUGGCCAGGCUGGUCUCGAACUCCUGACCUCAGGUGAUCCGCCCUCCUCAACCUCCCAAAGUGCGGGAUUACAGGCGUGAGCCACUGUGCCAGGCCAAGGUAUAUCUUUAUUAACAGCAUGAGAACGGAUUAAUACGGUGUAUCUUUAGGGUUAAUUUUUCAGCAUGGACUUUUGAGCCAAAUGGAAAAGAUAUAUACAGUUUUGUUAGAUGCUGCCAAGUUCUGUUCUGUAAGAGUAUAUGAUAUCUGAGAUACCUGUUUCCUCAUGCCCUCAGCAACUGUUUAGGCUCUCCCAAUCCUACAGGUGAGAAACGGUAUCUCAUUUUGGUUUUAACCUGCAUUUCCCUUACCAUGAGUGAAGACUAACAUCUAUUCAUAUGUUUAAGGGUCAUUUUUAUAUGUUUUUAUUAAUGAUCUGUUUAUGUCUUCCACUCUUUUUUCUUUUUCCUGUUUCCUGUUAAUUUUUGAGUGCUCUUUAUAUACUAGAAAUACUAGCUCCUCAAAGUCAAGUUUAUUAAUGUUUCAUUGAAUCUGGACUUUGGGUUGUCGUUAGCCUUUCCCUACAUCCAGUUUAUAGAGGAAUUCACCCACACUUCUUCGUUUGCUUGUAUAGCAUUAUACAUCAGAAAUAUAACCUAUUCCAUUUGGCAUUUAUUAUUAUGUAUUUAGGAAGUAUGGAUCUAACUUUACACUUUCUCCAAAUGAUUAUAUAGUCAUUUCAGCAUAUUUAUUAAGGAGAAUAUCUUUGGUCCAAUCAUCCAUCUGAGAUGACACCUUUAUUAUCAUACACUAAAUUUUCAUAUAUAUUUGUGUCUCUUUCUGAACUUUCUAUUCUACUCCACUGGGGAGUCUGCCUGUUUUUUUGUUUGUUUGUUUGUUUGUUUGUUUGUUUGUUUGUUUUUUGAGACGGAGUCUCACUGUCGCCCAAUGCCUGUUUUAUUCUUGCUUGUUUUUUCAUGUAAAUGUUAGGAUCAAUUUGUCUAGCUUCAGAAAAAAUCUUGAUGUUAUUUUCAUCAUGAUUGUGCUAAAUUUACAAAUUAGGGAAAAUUAUAAAUCAGGAAGAACUGACACAUCUAUAACAUUGAUUCUUCCUAACCACCAACCAAUGUCUUUUCAUUUGUUCAAACCUACUUUGUUGGCUUUCAGGACUAUUUUCAAGAGUUCUUUAUAUUAAUUUUGCAAAUUUCUUAUUAACUUUACUCCUAGGUAUUUUAUCUUUUGUUGCUAUUGUAAAUGAAGUUUUCUCUCUCACUAUUGUUGUAGUUAGUUAUUGCUUGCGUAUAAUAACACUAUUGAGUUCAGUAUGCUAAUUGUAUGCCUUGCUUCCCUUCUGAAUUCUUUCAUUGUUUGAGUAGUUUUGUUUUUGCUUUCCGAUGGUUUACCAGUAAUACUAUUAUGUAAUCUGCAAGUAGAAAUACUUUAACUUCUUCUUCUUCUAAUUUUUAUGUCUCCAAUUUACCUUUUCUGAUUGCAAUGGUUAAUGCCACCGCUACAAUGUUAAAGUCAGUAGAUAUCUGUGCUUCGUUCCUGAUUUUAAAUAGCUCCAGUAUUUGCAAAUUAAGGAAGAAGUUGGGUUUAGGACAAAGGCAUAGAGGUAGAGAUAAAGAGAGAGAGAGAGAGUGCCAUUUUAUCAUAUUAAUAUAAUAUCCAUCAAUUCCCUCUUUUUUCUUUUUUCAGCAUCUAUAAAAAAAAUCACAAUUUCUUUACUCAUAUCGAAUCAAACUUCCAUUCCACAGAUAAAUUUCACCUGAUCAUGAUUUAUUAUCUUCAUACUGUGAGGUUGGAUUCUGUUCACUAAUAUUUUAUUAAGAAUUUUUGUAUCAGUAUUGGUAGGUAACGUUGCCUUGUAAUUUUCUUUUUGAUUAUCCCUAUCACAUGCGGUUAUCAAUAUACACUUGCUUCACAAAAAGAAUUUGGAAGUUUUAUUUUAUAUGCUCUAGAACAAUUUAUGUAGUACUGUAACUGGUCUUUAAAAGCUUGGUGAAACUCUCCUUGUGCAACCUUCUGGACCUGUUGCCUGUUUGGGGGAGGGUAGUUUCUUAAUAAAUUUCUUCUACAGAAAUUGAUAGUUUCUAUCUUUAAUGCAGUCAAUUUAAUAAACUAUUUUCCCAGAAAACUAUCUACUUCAUAGUUUUUCAAACUUUUUUACAUAAAAGUAUAUUAUGGACUCUAAAGAUUUUUAAAAUUUCUUUUGUUUCAACAAUUUUUCCCCCUUAUUCUUUCUAAUUUUAUAUAUUUUUGCUUUCUCCUUUUUUUCCUGAUUAAGCUACACAGUAUUUCUAUUUUGUUAAUUUUUUUCAAAAAAAGAUUUUGAUUAAUUAGAUCUGCUUUUUAAUACUCUAGUAAAUUCUGCUUUUAAUCUUAUACUUUCUUUUCCUUACUUUGUUGCUCUUUUUCCAGCUUUAAGAAUUGGGAAAUUAUUUCAUUCUUUUAUUUUCUUGAUACAAGUGUUUAAACACAGUGGUAGACAGAAUAAUGACCCCACUGCAAAAGAUUAAAGUUGAAGAUACAAUUAAGGUUGCUAAUCAGUGACCUUGAGAUAAUUCACAAUUACCUGGGUGGGCCCCAUCUAAUCACAUUGGGAGAAUCUGCAGCCCACUCUGGGGCAUGUUUCUGCCACAACAGCACAGAGGCCAGGACAGGAGAGGAGGUGGCAGCAGUCGGGAAUUCACCAACAUCCCCUUCCUGGGGAGAAGGAACUAAAUUGUCAUAUGACUUGCUUGGCCAAUGAAAACAUAACAGAUAGGACACUAACAGGGGCUUAGAAAUGUGUUUUCACAGUGGGGCUUGCUGUGUCUUCCUCUAGCAGCCCCAGAAGAAGAACACACCUGGCUAGCCUACUAACCCAAAAGGGGUAAGAGACAUGUGAGGCAGAACCACUCCAGCCGACCUGAUAGGCACAGUGGACAUUACAGCAUGGUGGACAAAGGAAUGGACUGCUGGAGAGGGGCUCAGCAUAUGUCCUCCCUCCUCCCUGCCUUUGUGGUUCAGUCCAAACCCCACUGUCCCCAACAUUCCCCGGUUCCCCCACUCUGUGACAUCACAGACAGCCUCCUGUCCACUCUGCCAGCUGCAGGUGAAUGAGACUCAUAGGUUAGACCUAAGGGUAAGAGGGCGUAAUUUUUCUGUACUAAAACAGAAAAUGUCCCCGCCACUCCUGGACACCUAUUCACUUUGCUACAAGAAGCACCCCUUAUUUGCCUUGACCCCACUGUUUCUCUGUCUCUGGGUCUCAGUCUCCCCCACUGUGCUGAAAGACUCCUGAGGGCUCCCCUAGCUCCAGACGACUUCCUGUUUGACUUCAUUGAUCUUUCUUAUUCUGAUCAAGGUGCUGUGGGGUCCCUAGAGACCUGAAACUCACAGCCCAGUGGGGACAGCCCAAGGGCCCUUUUCUUUGGCUCCUGCUUCCCUCUAGAGGCGGACACUGGUAAUGCAAGAAACACCACACCCACCCCUACUCUGUCCCAGCCAGCAUCUCAGUGAUAUUAAACGCCUACUGUGUACCGCAUACCCUGCAAAGCACUUGACAUCUUUAUGUCACCAAAUCCUUACAACGGCAUUCUGCGGGUAGGUUUCACCAUACCACUGCACAGACUGGAAAACUGAGGUUCAAGGAAGCUAAACGGCCCGAAAUUACACAGCAAGGUGCAACAGGAAUUAAGAACUGAAGUCCAUCUAAGUAAAAAAGGAGUGUGCUCUUAACUGUUAUGCUGUUCUGCCAGGCUUCAGAUGGAGCCUUUCCAUUUAAAAACCACUUACCAUCAACUCUUGGAGAUCAAGGUGGUUCUGAACAUCUCAUUCUGGAAUUGUAUAGACGGAAUAAAAUCUGGCUUCAGAUAAAACUACAUUAAAAUCCCAGCUGUUCCUCUUGGCUGCCACAGCUGAGCAAGUCACCUUUCUUAGGCUCAAUUCCCUCCAUCUGGAAAAUCAGACAAAGUCCUGCCUUGCAAGGUGGAGAGGAAAAUGAAAUGAGCUCAGCAAUGUCAAAGGACCUGCCCAAAUGCUCAAUGAAUGUCAGUGUUCUGUUUCUAUUCCCAUAACUUUCUGACAUUAAAGAAAAAAAAAAGCCUGUUCAUGGAAGGGAGAACAGGGUGAAGGAUUGAGCGUACCAUUGUCCAACAGUCAGACAAUGUUCCUGUAUUUAUUCAAUCAGUAUGGAGAGCAUACGCGUUCUGCACACAGCCCGGUGCUGCAUCCUGGGACCCGAAGGUGGGCUGGACCCACCCCUGCCUCCUCGAGAGUGAGGCUCUGUUGCUCUUGUCCACGGCAGUAUCCCCAGCACCACAGUCAGUGCUUGGCACCAGUAGGUCCUCAAAAAGUAUAUGCUGAACAAAUUUUUUUAAUCACUGAUUUUUUGUAGGCAAAUAAACAGGCAGUGAAAAUACAGUCCAUUCAACAAAUAUUACUGAGCAUCCACUGUGGUUUAGGCAGACACUGGAAUGACAGUCAGGUCCAGGACACAGGGAAGCCCAGGGGACAAGGGAACCAUAAAGGAAAUGCCUCAAUUCAUCCCAGGUUUAAGAGAUGGCUUCCUGGCUGGGUAUGGUGGCUCACACCUGUAACCCCAGCAACUUGGGAGACAGAGGCGGGCAGAUCACUUGAGAUCGGGAAUUCAAGACCAGCCUGACCAACAUGGCACAACUCUGUCUCUACUAAAAAUACAAAAAUUAGCUGGGUGUGAUGGUGUGCACCUAUAAUCCCAGCUACUCAGGAGGCUGAGGCAAAAGAAUCGCUUAAGCCCAAAGGGUGGAGGAUGGUUGAAGUGAGCCAAGAUCGCACCACUGCACUCCAGCCUGGGUGAUACAGUGAGACUCUGUCUCAAAAAAAAAAAAAAAAAAAGGAAUGGCUUCUUGAAGGAAGUGACACCUGAGCUGUCUUCAAGUGUGAUGAGGAGAGGACAUGGAGGGGCAGGUUUCAGCUUGUGCAGAGGCACAGGGAUGGAACAGUAAGAAAAAGUCUGGAGCACAGCCAGCAGCUCCUAUGGCCGAAGAGUAGUGACUGAGUUGGAAUGAACGGAGCUGGCAAAGUCGACAGGGGCAGAUCCUCAGACAAGUUCGAGCAGCAGAACAGGGGAGCCACUGAGGGGUUAAGGCAGAGGAGGAGUGACCUAACAGGAUUUGCACCAGGGGCAGAUCUUCUGGUUGCAGAUGAGCCACCAGAGAGGCUAGUGGGAAAGCAGUGGUCAGGAUCCAAAGGCAGGAGGCGCUAGUGGUGAGGGCAAUGGCAACGGAGGGUGGCUGACAAUGGAGAUAUUUAUGGGAUAGAUUCAAAAGGCCUUGAUGAAUGUGAGCGGAGGGGAGGUAAGGGGUGCCCCAUUUCUAGCUGCAGACACAAAAUGAAUAGUGGUACCUGUCCCCAAAAUAGGAAACAUGAGAGGAGGAAAAGCAAGUUUGGGAUGGAGAGGGUGGAGAAGAGAGGUGGUCCCAUCAGAAGGCAGCCAAAAGCAACCCUAUAAGUCAUCCAUAAAGCCAUCCAUCAGCUUGGCAGGUGGAUGAGGCAGGUGGUGUCUUACUUGUUGUGACAUUCCUUGCUGCUCCCCGGUGACAGCACCUGCUUGGACCCUAGACCAAAGUGAGAUACAUACAGGUUCAUCCAACCAUGCCAUAAAUGCUGUUAACCACCUGUCCUACACCCUGCACUGGGGACCCAGCAGUGAACACAGGAGACUCCCUGCCUUCCUGGGUUUACUAAUGGGAAAGUGAGUACGUGCUCAUAAAUAAAUUCUAGGCUACUUCUGAACAUGACAAGGGCUGCAGAGAAGCAUGAGGUGGGGAAGGGAAAUAGAGAGUGCUGGGAGCAGGGAGGAGGCUUAAACAGAGGGAAUAAACAGAGAGAAUUAAAUAGAGUAAAUAGGCCAGAGAAGGCCUCACUAGAAAAAGUGUUCAUGGCCAGGCAUGGUGGCUCACGCCUGUAAUCCUUGCAACUUGGGAGGCCGAGGCAGGCAGAUUUCCUGAGGUCAGGAGUUUGAGACCAGCCUGGCCAACAUGGUGAAACCCCGUCUCUACUAAAAACACAAAAAUUAGCCGGGCAUGGUGGUGCGCACCUGUAAUCCCAGCUACUCAGGAGGCUAAGGAAUAAGAAUCGCCUGAACCCCAAAGGCAGAGGUUAGUGAGCUGAGAUCGCCCCACUGCCCUCCAGCCUGGGCAAUAGAGUGAUACUCCAUUCAAAAAAAAAAAAAAAAAGAUGAAGUGUUCUUUAAGCAAAGGCUUGAAACAAGUGAGAGAAUGAGUCUUGUGGAUUUCUAGGGGAAGAGCGUUCCAGCAGAAAUGCAAACAGUGGUGUGUUUGGUGUGGCGGGAAAGGGGUGAAGGGUAAAGUAGCAGGAGACAGUGAGGGACAAGUGGAUAAAUGGUUAGAUUAUGAGUUUUUUCAAGACAGGCCCAGGGAAAGACUUUUCUUUUAUUCAACAUGAUACUGGAAGCCACUGGGAGGUCUGGGCAGAGGUGUGACAUGAUCUAAUGUCUGUAGGAGGAGGAUUCAUCUGUGUUGGUGCUUAAUGCUGAUGCUUAGGAGCCGUUGCAAUAAUCCAAGUAGGAGAUGCUGGUGACUGAGGCUGGAGAGGAGCACUGGACGGGUGGGAACUCACUACCCAAGGAUGAGGCCAUGGAGUGAACCCAGUGUGCUGUGAUCGACACACGACCACCGAUGAUGGAAAUUUCCAGAGUGGGGCUUUGGCCACAGAGAAAGGGGAGCAACAGCAGAUGGCCAGAGCCUGGAAAAGAGAAAGGAGGUUGGGAAUAACAUAGACUUACAACCUUCGGUCAUCAGAGCUGGGAGAAUCCUUGGAAAGAUAGAUGACGCAGCCCACUGACUUCCUGUUGCAGAUGCGGGGGGCCUCAGUAUGGGCUAGCCCAAAGCCACACAGCAAGUUAGUGGCAGUGCCAGGACUGGGACCAGCAAAGCUGGGCUUCAUCAUCAUGCUCCUGUGGGACCUGGGCCCAGCUGGAAUAAUGGAGCCAACAAACCAUAUGGGAAGACAAUGAGCACAGAAAGUACUUUGGGGUACCUCCCAUCAGAGCGGCCAGUUUACAGACAAUUAAACACUCAUUACUCCAAGGUGGUAUUACUGUUCCCAUUUUCCAGAUAAGAAAGGGAGGCCAGUGGCUGGGCAAAGUGACUCAUGCCUGUAAUUCCAGCACUUUGGGAGGCUGAGGCAGAAGGAUCUCUUGAGGCGAAGAGUUUAAGACCAGCCUGGGCAGAAUAGCAAGAUCCGGUCUCUACAAAAAGUUUAAAAAAAAAAAAAUUAGCCAGAUACGGUGUCACACACCUGUAGUCCCAGCUACUCAGGAAGCUGAGGCAAGAGGAUCACUUGAGCCUAGGAGUUCGAGGCUGCAGUGAGCUAUGAUUUUGCCACUUCACUCCUGCCUGGGCUACAAAGCAAGACCCUGUCUCAAAAAAUAAAUAAAUAAAAUAAAAUAAAGUGAGGCACAAAGAGAUUACAGAACCAACCCAAGAGCACACAUACACCUAGAGAGAAGGCAAAUCUGACCCUUAAACACAAGCUUGUCUGUGUGGGCUGCCGCAUCUCCUGGGGUUCUGCUGCCAUAGGACCUGGCAAAGCAGAGAUUCACGUUUUCCAGCUACAGUCUUAAGUUCAUCUAGAAAACAACCCUGCCCAGAGAACUGUGCUGGACCUCCAACAUCUGUGGUUCAAGAAGGCAACGCUACAGGGAAAGACUGGCAGAGUGGAGGCUCCAUGUCCUUUCCACAGGUAGGAGAAAUGUGCACAGUUGAGGAAAGACUGACCCUCAGAGUGGUGGGCCCAGGCAGGUGGGCCUGGAACUGCUGGCCACAGGGAGCUACAGCAGGUCAGAGAGAGGGGAAGGGCCCACUAUGACCCAGCGCUUAAAUAACAAUGGGUUUCUGGGAUUGGAGCUGCAGAGCCAGGAGCCCCAGUGCCCUUUCCUCCUCCCACCGCGCACCAAAACAUGGGGUCCAAGAUCUUCUGUUGUUGCCGCAAGACCAGCGAGGGGUCUUCCACCACUGUUGGCUUCCACAAUCCAAGAAUGUUCGAACAGCAUCAUCCACGGUCCUUCAGUAGGUUCCAGACGUGGGUGUGUGAUAGUGUCAGGAACACCUGAAUGAUUCUCUGCGCCUCGGCCUCCCCGGCCACCUCCUGCUGGGACAUAGUCAGACUUCUUUCAGCCUUCUGGGAGUGUGGAAAGGGCGUAGUUACUCAAGCCUGGAACAACACAGUCUAAAGACUCUAUCAGUUAUUAGAGAUUAGUUAUUAGGUGGUAGAUAUUCGUUGAAAUCACUGGCUUUAGUCCUCCAUGGCCAUUUGUUGAUUUAUUUAAUUUCUCACUGAGUUUGUGGUACUUUAUUAGAUGGUAGUUUAAACUCUGCCUCUGCUGCUUACUGAGUUUGGGCAUGUCGCCGACCCUCCCUCUCUAAGCCUCAGCAUCCUUCUCUCCAAAAUGAGGAUAACGAUAAUAUAUUGCCCACUGUGCAGGCUGUUAGGAGGAUGAAGGCAGGCACCGUGUGUAAGUGAAUGCAUAUGGCCCCACACAAAGAAGACAUUCAACAAGGCCGGGCACGGUGGCUCACGCCUGUAAUCCCAGCACUUUGGGAGACUGAGGCGGGCAGAUCACGAGGUCAGGAGAUCGAGACCAUCCUGGCUAACACGGUGAAACCCCGUCUCUACUAAAAAUACAAAAAAUUAGCGGGGCAUGGUGGUGGGCGCCUGUAGUCCCAGCUACUCAGGAGGCUGAGGCAGGAGAAUGGAGUGAACCGAGGAGGCGGAGCUUGCAGUGAGCCGAGAUCGCGCCACUGCACUCCAGCCUGAGCGACAGAGCGAGACUCCACCUCAAAACAAAAAAAAAGACAUUCAACAAAUGAUAUCUGUGGAUGUGUAUAAGGAUCAGCUGGGCCACGCUGAGAUCUGAACACAAAUUCUCUCCACAGUGCUGUACCAAAAAGACAUCCACGCCUCCCCUAUGACAACCGCAUGAUGCUCAAGGCGUGCAUCCUUAGGAGGCCAUGAGCAUUCUAGCCGGCGGCACCCACGUGGUCCCUGCGGCUGCACAGCUGCUGGGCUUCCAUGAGGAAGAGGGCAGUGGACAAGAGUCAUGAAGACUGAUUCAGAAACUCCCCUGCAGGAGGAGAAGACGUCUGAGCCAUCCCUGUGCCACCACCAAGAGUCACUCCAGCUUCUGAAAAAGCCACCGUGGGGGGGAGCCGCCUCCAAUUAAAGUCCUUGGUCACAUCAGAGGAAGUGUCUCUCCUCCUUCCCCCUUUGCCAGCCCUACCUCUGAGAUUCCCAAAAACAUGGAGCAAUUAGACCCUGGCACCUCUUGGAAAGAAAUGUGGUUUUGUCAUUUUAACGCAUUAACACAUUUGUUUCAGUCACUCCUAACCAACCUAACAGGGAAGUGCUAUAUUAGGAGAGGCCAGUUUGUAUAACAGGCCACUGUCAUAAACGUCCAGAGCUUCAGGGCACAAUUCUGCUUGCCUACUGUGCGACUCCAUUUGACGCUCAGGGCCAUAGGGAACAGCAGGGCAUGUUGUGAAAAACUCUACAAACAGCAGCCCUAGAGUUAUGCAAUGCGUAGCCAGUGCUGAUACGCAGCACCGCUUGUGCUGAAACACGGAGUAUGCAACUGUGAGUAAUAUGCAGAAGACCCCACAUGGUUUCCACAUUAGCCAGGGAGCCAGGCAUGGAAGUGUAUCACUCUGACAUAAUAGGGCAAAAACUUGGAAAGCAAAAUGACAAAGGAGCAUUUUGCAACUGACUCGGGGAUUAAUGGAAGGCUUCCUGGAGGCGAUGGUGCUUGAAGGGAAGUUAGCUAAAAGGAGAAGGGAUGAUAUUCCAGAAGGAGGGAAUACAAUCAGCAAAGUUGGAAAAUAGGGGCACGACCUGGGAGGGCAUGAGGGUAGCAAAGUACCAAGUCUAGAAUGACUCAAGUGAAAACCUGAGCCAGGGUUUGGUGGGAGGUGAAGUGGGCAGAGCAUCAAGAGCUUUGUAUCCAGGGAAAAGGAGCUGAACUCUAUCUUGAAAAUAAUGGGAAGCCACAGGUGAGUUUUAAGCAACAAAGUGACACAGCCUGAUUUCCAACUUUUGUACUAUGAACAGUGCCUUAGUCUGUUCAGACUACUAAAAUAAGAUACCAUAACCGGGUGACUUACAAACAACAGAAGUUUAUUUCUCACAGUUUUGGAGGCUGGGAAGUCCAAGAUCAAAACUCCAGCAGCAUCAGUGUCUGGUGAGGGCCUGUUCCUCAUAGAGGGCGCUUCUUGCUGUGUUCUCACAUAGCAGAAGGGGCAAGGGGUCUCUCUCAGGCUCUUUCAUAAGGGCACUAAUCUCAAUCGUGAGGGCUCUGCUCUCAUGACCUAAUCCUCCUAAACCUCCCAAAGACCACAAUUCUUAUACCAUCACCUUGGGAGUUAAGAUUUCAACACAUGAAUUUGGGGGAACAUUAACAUUCAGACCAUAACAAACAAGGCGAGUUGGAAGACAACACUUUUUUUGUUUGUUUGUCUGUUUGUCUGAGACGGAGUCUUGCUCUGUCACCCAGCCUGGAGGGCAGUGGCAUGAUCUUGGCUGGCUGCAACCUCCACCUCCCAGGUUCAAGGAUUCUCCUGCCUCAGCCUCCCAAGUAGCUACAGGAAAGUGCCACCACACCCAGCUAAUUUUUUUUUUUAAUUUUUUUUUUGAGACGGAGUUUCUCUUUCGUUGCCCAGGCUGGAGUGCAAUGGCACACUUUCGGCUCACAGCAACCUCUGCCUCCCGGGUUCAAGCGAUUCUCCUGCCUCAGCCUCCUGAGUAGCUGGGAUUACAGGCACCCUCCACCAUGCCUGGCUAAUUUUGUAUUUUUAGUAGAGACAGGGUUUCUCCAUGUUGAUCAGGCUGGUCUCCAACUCCUGACCUCAGGUGAUCCGCCCGCCUCAGCCUCCCAAAACGCUGGGAUUACAGGCGUGAGCUACCGCGCCCGGCCUAAUUUUUGUAUUUUUAGUAGAGACGGGGUUUUGCCAUUUUGUUCAGGCUGGUCUUAAACUCCUGACCUCAGGUGAUCCGCCCAUCUCAACCUCCCAAAGUCCUGGGAUUACAGGCGUGAGCCACUACACCCGGCCAGAAGACAAUUUAUUAAUUAGCACUCCUUAUGCCUUCCCCACCUCAGAAAAGAGAAGAAUAAAGGAAUAUGAUGUCUAUGCCAUGGCAAUGUGGAGUAAAAUUCAUACCUUCAAUGAAAAGCCCAUCCUGGCUAUAAUGUGAAGGAUGGAUUUUGUUUUGUUUUGUUUUGUUUUUUGAGACGGAGUCUCGCUCUGUCAUCCAGGCUGGAGUGCAGUGGUGCGAUCUCAGCUCACUGCAACCUCCACCUCUCGGGUUCAAGCGAUUCUCCUGCCUCAGCCUCCCAAGUAGCUAGGACUACAGGCGCAUGCCACCACGAUUUGAGUGUAAUAGUAAUCACAAUAGACAGCCUGGUUCCUUGCUUACUCUGUGCCAGAUCCUCUUCCAAGUGCUUCAUAAAUAUCAACCCAAUCAGCACAAUAACCCAACAAGGUUAGAACUGUUACUACCUGAUUUUACAGAUUAGGGAAGUGAGACACAGGUUAAAUAAAUCUUUUAAGGUUUACACUAACUCACAUUAAGUGCCAGAGCUAAGACUUUAACUCAAGAAACCCAACUGCAGAGUCCACACUCUUAACAACUUGGUUAUGCGGCCCCUCGAUAAUGGUAGAAUGACAUUCAGUUAUUACUCUGGACCCCAAAUUUACUGUUCAUCGCCUGCUCUUCAAAAAUGGAGCUGGCCCUUUAAAUAUUUUUCUUUUGGUAGUUGGUGCAAUGCUAGGCUCUGUCAGGAGGGGGAGCUAGAGACAUUGGAGGAGGAAGAGGCCUUCCUUUCUGGUUGUGCUGGGCUCAUCUUAACAGCACAGAGCUCACAGCUUCUCCAACAUCACCCUCCCGCAGUGCAGGCAACUUUUCCAGAACAGGAAUCCUGCAGAGGAUGGUGGUCAGUAGCACUUGGCAACUAGCAGCUUCUCCUAGUGCCCCCACAAAUAGGUGUGCCUCUAAUCAGACACUGUUCCAUGACAGCUUUCCCUGGCACCCAAGGGCAGACUUCUAGAACAUUCUCCCAGACUUCUCUGCCAUUGUGAGGCACAGCCAUGCCCUUCCCAGCAACAUCUGGAUCUCAGCUGGGGAUAGAGCCUGGGGGUGUUCUUUCUUAGUUCUAGGGGUGCUGGCUGCUCCUUAUGUCCAUUAUUCCUAUAUUCUUUAAAGCUCUCCUGACUUCUUACCACUCCUUCAUUACUCCAAUCCCCUGUUCUAGUUAGUACUUAUAUUAAUCUUCUCAUAUUCAAAUUGUUAUGUGGUUUCUGUCUCCCAAGUGGAUCAUGACUAAUGCAGAAAUCAAAUUAAGAGGCUGGGCUUAUGUCUGUGGCCCCAGAAAUACAGGAGGCAGAGGCAGGAGUAUCACUUGAGGCCAGGAGUUUGAGAUCAGCCUGGGCAACACAGCAAGACCCGAUCUCUACCAAAACAAAACAAAACAAAUUAAGCGACUGCCUAGGCAAUCAGGACAGACAGUGAUACAGGCCUAAAGUAGGGCAGCAGCAGUCAGGAUGAAUAAGAGGACCUUGAGUCAUAUUUCUCAGGCAAAGCUGGCCAAUUCUAACUCAGAACCAUACAGGAAAGAAGAUUCUAGGGAAUGAGGUCCUUGUGGUAUUGAGGCCAAGUUGACAACAACAGCAGAUCACUUAAUUUUGGGCUAUUCCAAGCUGGAGGGGCCUAUGGGACACGAGGGGCCAAGAUGCUGAAGAGAAAAGUAGAGAGAGGAGAUGAGCACCGAAGCCUUCUUAUCCCCUUGAGGCACCUGCCGAGUCCUAAGCAGAGUCCAAGUAGCUGAAAAGUUGAGUAGAGCUUUCAGAAGUCUCACAGCGGCCAGGCGUGGGGGCUCACGCCUGUAAUCCCAGCACUUUGGGAGGCCGAGACAGGUGGAUCACAAGGUCAGGAGAUCAAGACCAUCCUGGCUAACACAGUGAAACCCCGUCUCUACUAAAAAUACAAAAAAUUAGCCGCGUGUGGUGGUGGGCGCCUGUAGUCCCAGCUACUGGGGAGGCUGAGGCAGGAGAAUGGCGUGGACCUGGGAGGCGGAGCUUGCAGUGAGCCAAGAUCAUGCCACUGCACUCCAGCCUGGGAGACAGAGCGAGUCUCUGUCUCAAAAAAAAAAAAAAAAAAAAAAAAUGUCUCACAGCUUGGGGUAACAAAAAUUGGAGGUUUAGGACUCACCAUGAAAGAGGAGUCCUGGUUUUAUAAACACACACACACACGUUUUCAGCUAAAACCCCUGUAGGGCUACAACCUGAGAGUAAGGUUUAAUCACACCUAGACUAGCUCUCACAAAGCCCAGGGUCAAGUUUAUCUCAAGCCUACUUUUCCCAGAAGCAAAAGUAAAUCCUGCCUGAGGGAAGAUCCAGAGCCUUGUAUAUCUCUUCAAUUUUUCAAAAUUUUCAUUUUUCAAAAUGUCUAGCAUUUAAUGAAAAAUUACCAUGAAUAUCAAAAAAUAAGACCAACUGACUGAAAAGCAAAAGGAAAAAAAAAAGAACCAGAUAUUAGAGUUUGCAGACAUAAACUUUAAAAGCAGUACAAUUAAAUAUUGAGGAGAAUAGAUGACAAGAUUGGUAAUUUCAUUUGAGAACUGGAAACUAUUUCUAAAAAAACAAAAUUAUAGAACUGAACAUUAUGAUGGAUGAAAUUAAAAACUCAGGCUGGGCAUGGUGGCUCACAGCUGUAAUCCCAGUGCUUCAGGAGGCAGAGGCAGGAGGAUUACUUGAGGCCAGAAGUUCAAGACCAGCCUGGGCAACACAGCAAAACCCCGUCUCUACAAAACAUUUAAAAAUUGGCCAGGCAUGGUGGCACCUGCCUAUAGUCCUAGCUACUUGGGAGUCUUAGGUCCCAGGAGUUUAAGGUUGCAGUGAGCUGUGAUUGUGCUACUGCACUCCAGCCUGGGCAACAGAGCAAGACCCUGCCUCUUAAAAAAAAAAAAAAAGAUAAAAAAAUUAGAAACUGGAUUGAUUUUUAAAUGAAACAUAGGGUUAACAAAAAAACUCCAUUGAUAGAAUUAAACACAAAUGAGGGCAAGAUUAAUGGAGAAGACGAGUCAGUAGAAAAUAUCCAGGCUGAAUCACAAAGAACCAAAAGAAUGGAAAAAUACCAAGAAGGGUCUUAGAGAUAUAGUGAAAAGGUCUAACACUUAUCAUUAGAGUCCUGAACAAGAUGAGAGAGAAGAGGGUGAAUGCUGUGAUGAAAGAUAUCAUGUCACAGUUUCAAGAUGUGCUAUGAACAAGCACAAGCAGGAAAAAUACUUUAAAAGCUACAGCUAGGCACAUCAGAAUAUAACUGCUAAAACUCAAUGCAAAGAGAAAAUGUUGAGAGCAGCAAUGGGGCUGACAGAUGACUUCUCAACAGAAGCAACAGAAACCAAUGACAUCUUCAAAAGGUUGAAAGAAAAUAACUGCACUAACCUAGAAUUCCUUACUUACCAAAAAUAUCUUUCAAAAAUAAAAACAAAAUACAGACUUCUCAGCAAACAAAAAUUGAAUUUGUCACCAUAAGAUCUGUACUGAAAGGAAAAUACUAAAGGUAUUUCUAAAUAUACUAUACUAAAUAUGAUACUAUAUUGAAGAAAAAUUCUAAAGUUAGUUCCAGAAGCAGGAUCCAAAAUAGAUGUAUGGAAAUACAGAAAGGAACAAAGGGCAAUAAAAUUGAAGUAACAAAGAGCAAUAAAAAGUAACAUGUGAAUAAAUCUAAAUGAAUAUUGACUAUAGAAAGCAUUAAUAAGAAUGUCUGUUGUGGCUUAAAAUACAUAGAAAAUUGAAAUCCAUGACAAGACUACCGUAACAGGUAGAAAGGUGAAAGAAUUGUAUAGUUGUUGGAGCCAGGCACGGUGGCUCUCACCUGUAAUCCCAGCACUUUGGGAGGCUGAGGCAGGUGGAUCACUUAAGGUCAGGAGAUCGAGACGAGCCUGGACAACAUAGUGAAACUCUGUCUCUACUAAAAAUACAAAAAUCAUCAGGGUGUGGUGGUGCACACUUGCAAUUCCAGCUACUCGGGAGGCUGAGGCGGGAGAAUCACUUGAACCUGGGAGGCGGAGGUUGCAGUGAGCCAAGAUCGUACCACUGCACUCUAGCCCAGGCCACAGAGGGAGACUCCGUCUCCAAAAAAAAAAAAAAAAAAAAUUGUGUAGUCGCUGGGUUAUCCAGGAAAUGAUAGAAGUGAUCAUGUAUAAUACACUUCAGUAAGUCAAGGAUGCUUGUUAAAUCUAGGGUAAGAACUGAAAGAAAAGUAUACUUCAUAUGCUAAUAAAGGAGAAAUUACCCAAAACAAACAACCUUAAUCCAAAACAAGGAAAAAAGACAGAAAAAAGAAAAGAACACAGUAACAGAAAAACCGAUAGAAAGAAUUAUUAGUAAGAUGGUACAUUCAAACCUAAGUCUAUCAGUAAACACAUUAGAUAUAGUGUAGUAAAUACUUUGAAUUAGAAAAAAACUUAAUUUCAAAAAAGCAAAUCUUACAUGCCUACAAGGGUGAAACCUUAAAUAUAAGAAUGUGAAAAGGUCAAAAGUAAAAGGAUGAACAAAGAUAUACUACGCAAUGACUAAUCAAAAGAAAGCUAAUUUCCUCUCAGUAAGCAAGGAAUAGAGAAGAAACUUUCUCAACUUGUUAAAGAAUAUCUCAUCUAGGCAUGGUGGCUCAGGCCUGAAAUCUCAACACUCUGGAAGGCUGAGGUGGGAGGAUCAACUCCAGGAGUUCAAGAUCAGCCUGGGCAACAUAGUGAGACCCCAUCUCUACAAAAAACUAAAAAAUUAUGGCUGGAUGUGGUGGCCCAGGCCAGGCACAGUGGCUCACGCCUGUAAUCUCAGCACUUUGGGAAGCCAAGGUGGGUGGAUCACCUGAACUCAGGAGUUCAAGACCAAACUGAGCAACAUCAACAUGACAGAACCCUGUCUCUACCUUUUGGUAGCCAAGCAUGGUGGUGCAUGCCUGUGGUCCCAGCUACUCAGGAGGCUGAGGUGAGAGGAUCACUUGAGCCUGGGAGGCAGAGGUUGCAGUGAGCCAAGAUCCCACUACUCCACUCCAACCUGG
rnacentral:lncRNA from 10 species